ACCUUACCUACCCUUGACAUGUCAAGAAUCUUGCAGAGAUGUGAGAGUGCUCGAAAGAGAACUUGAACACAGGUGCUGCAUGGCCGUCGUCAGCUCGUGUCGUGAGAUGUUGGGUUAAGUCCCGCAACGAGCGCAACCCUUGUCAUUAGUUGCUACGAAAGGGCACUCUAAUGAGACUGCCGGUGACAAACCGGAGGAAGGUGGGGAUGACGUCAGGUCCUCAUGGCCCUUAUGGGUAGGGCUACACACGUCAUACAAUGGCCGGUACAGAGGGUUGCCAACCCGCGAGGGGGAGCCAAUCCCAGAAAACCGGUCGUAGUCCGGAUCGCAGUCUGCAACUCGACUGCGUGAAGUCGGAAUCGCUAGUAAUCGCGGAUCAGCUUGCCGCGGUGAAU
rnacentral:rRNA from 1 species